CAAGUGGGAGGUGAGUGCACACAUACAUGUAGUGGGAAGUUAAACUCUUUUUGGUGUAUAAUUUAAUAAUUGGUACUUUCCAUUAUUUAGUUUCCUCCGCAAGUAUCAUUCUCGAUUAUACCUGAUUGAUCUACUUUGAAAUUUCAGAUUGUCAGGCAGUGGUUCCAACCUGUAGAGGCUUCAAGGUUAAGAAGUAAAAUCUAGAAGUUACUCAAGGAAGAAUUUCAAAAUGCAUCCAAGUCUAACUGCUCUAAAGAAUCCUCUCCUUUGAGUGAUGCUUCUGAUGACUGAAUUGACAAGUGGGAUCCUUUCUGAAUCUACACACAGUUGGUGCAUAUUGUCCAACCAGUCAAUCAAUUAAUCUGCCGUGAAAAUGAUCUUUUGAGUUUAGUAACUGGAAAAAUUAGUCUGAUUUCGAAUUUAUGAAAGACAGCUUUUUAAAAGAAGAAUGGUGCUAUCUGGAUCAAGAAGUUGAUAUUUCAGAUCUAACAGUUUCAGACUGUUGGAAAUGACUCCCUGACCAUAUUGAGGAGAAAAAACUUGUGAAUGGUGAAGAGGGUUGUCAGUUCAGAGGUAGAUAUCUCAAUGCACAUCAAUUACAACUGU
rnacentral:lncRNA from 1 species